GGAGAUUUGAAGAGGGACUGAAUGACAAUAUCAAGAUACAGCUCACUGCCUUGGGAAUCACAGAAUUUAGCAAGCUAGUGGAAGCUGCAAUAAGAGUUGAAAAAGUGAGAAUCAAUGAGCAGACCAGAAGGGAUAGACAGCAGAAGAGGGGACCAGGUCAGUCUAGUUCCGCUCCUGGAUUUGGGAAGAAGUUUAAGGGUCCUCCUGCACAGAGUUCGGGUCAGUCUCAGGGGCCCAGGCCACAGUUCACC
rnacentral:misc_RNA from 1 species